AGAGUUUGAUCCUGGCUCAGGACGAACGCUGGCGGCGUGCUUAACACGUGCAAGUCGAGGGCGUGCAGCAAUGCACGACCGGCGAACGGGUGCGUAACACGUGAGCGACCUUCCGUCUUCUGGGGGAUAGCCGGCCCAAACGGCCGGGUAAUACCGCAUACGCUCUUUUGAUCGCAUGGUCGAGAGAGGAAACUUCCGGGGGAGGACGAGGGGCUCGCGGCCUAUCAGCUAGUUGGUGGGGUAAUGGCCCACCAAGGCGACGACGGGUAGCUGGUCUGAGAGGAUGGCCAGCCACAUUGGGACUGAGAGACGGCCCAGACUCCUACGGGAGGCAGCAGUGGGGAAUCUUGCGCCAUGGCCGAAAAGGCUGACGCAGCGACGCCGCGUGUGGGAGGAAGCUCUUCGGGGUG
rnacentral:rRNA from 1 species